ACAUGCAAGUCGNUUGCUCCUCUUGAGAGCGCGACGGGUGGGUGAAUGCCUAGGUAUCUGCCUGUAUGGAGAGAUAACGUUCGAAACGGACGCUAAUACCGCAUACGUCCUACGGGAGAAAGCAGGGGACCUUCGGGCCUUGCGCUAUCAGAUGAGCCUAGGUCGGAUUAGCUAGCUGGUGAGGUAGUGGCUCACCGAGGGCGACGAUCCGUAACUGGUGCUGAGAGGGUGAUCAGUCACACUGGAACUGAGACACGGUCCAGACUCCUACGGGAGGCAGCAGUGGCGAAUGUUGGACAAUGGGGGAAAGCCUGAUCCAGCCAUGCCGCGUGUGUGAAGAAGGUCUUCGGAUUGUAAAGCACUUUAAGUUGGGAGGAAGGGCAGUAAAUUAAUACUUUGCUGUUUUGACG
rnacentral:rRNA from 1 species